rnacentral:tRNA from 2 species
GCAUCAGUGGUUUAGUGGUAAAAUCCAUCGUUGCCAGUAAAUUCGAUGGGCCCCGUGUUCGAUUCACGGCUGAUGCA